CCAAAAUAGGGAAGCGAUGAUGUAUAGCCUGUGUUUGGACACCUUGGGGUAUACGUAGCUAGUGGUGUAACCGGCCCUCUUAGG
rnacentral:ncRNA from 2 species